rnacentral:rRNA from 1 species
GACGAACGCUGGCGGCGUGCUUAACACAUGCAAGUCGAACGGAAAGGCCCUGCUUUUGUGGGGUGCUCGAGUGGCGAACGGGUGAGUAACACGUGAGUAACCUGCCCUUGACUUUGGGAUAACUUCAGGAAACUGGGGCUAAUACCGGAUAGGAGCUCCUGCUGCAUGGUGGGGGUUGGAAAGUUUCGGCGGUUGGGGAUGGACUCGCGGCUUAUCAGCUUGUUGGUGGGGUAGUGGCUUACCAAGGCUUUGACGGGUAGCCGGCCUGAGAGGGUGACCGGCCACAUGGGGACUGAGAUACGGCCCGGACUCCUACGGGGGGCAGCGGGGGGGAUUAGUGCACAGGGGGCGGAGGCCUGAUGCAGCACCGCCGCGUGGGGAAUGACGCCCUUGGGGUUGAAAACCGCUUUCGCCUGUAACGAAGGGGGAGGGAGGGUAAUGGAUAAAAAAGCCCCGGCUAACUACGGG